rnacentral:rRNA from 1 species
UACAGAGGUGGCGAGCGUUGUUCGGAUUUACUGGGCGUAAAGGGCGCGUAGGCGGCCCCGUGUGUCGUAUGUGAAAGCCCCAGGCUCAACCUGGGAAGUGCAUGCGAAACUGCGGGGCUUGAGCAGAGGAGAGGAGAGCGGAAUUCAUGGUGUAGCGGUGAAAUGCGUUGAUAUCAUGAGGAACACCGGUGGCGAAGGCGGCUCUCUGGAAUCUUGCUGACGCUCAGGCGCGAAAGCCGGGGGAGCAAACAGGA